rnacentral:rRNA from 1 species
GAACGCUGGCGGCAUGCUUAACACAUGCAAGUCGAACGAGAAAGCUUCUUCGGAAGUGAUUAAAGUGGCGCACGGGUGAGUAACGCGUGGAUCAUCUACCCUCCAGUUCGGGACAACUCUUCGAAAGGGGAGCUAAUACCGGAUAAUACCUUUGGUUUUAUGGCCUGAGGUUGAAAGCUCCGGCGCUGAGGGAUGAGUCUGCGUACCAUUAGCUUGUUGGUGGGGUAAAGGCCUACCAAGGCGACGAUGGUUAGCGGGUCUGAGAGGACGAUCCGUCACACUGGAACUGAGUCACGGUCCANACUCCUACGGGAGGCAGCAG